AACCCUGUUUCCGCCGCUAAAAGGCAAGCGAAGCGUUCCUCUUUUUUUUUUUUUCAGUGUAGUAGCCUCUCCUUCGACUGCCUACAAGUCAACACGCACACGCGUCCGGAGCGCCAGCUCCUCUACCUGUGCUGCGCCACGCAUGUGUUAAGGAGCCACGCCGACCAACACCGUUUGGCGCCGCACUGCCCACGGCGAUUCCACUCCGUACAGCGCAGGUCAGACCGAGGAUUACUUUCCCCAUCAGAACAGCACAACAAACGCACAAGGGAAGAAGAAUAAUAAGACAACAGUAGGUGAGUGCGUAUAUUCAUUGAACCGUCAACAGGAUUUGCCGUGAGCUGCUGCACACGUGAUCGUGCCCGUUGCUCACUUCUACGCCGUGUCAGCCCAGACUUCUCCGCUGACGCCACGAGGAGUGGCACUAGAACCUGAGAUACGACAGUGCGGUGGCCGCUGUCGUUGGACAAGACAAGUGCCGGCAAUCCAUAAAAAAGUAUAAGAAGGCUGUCCGCAUCUUUGUGCGCGCUCGCUAACGCCAAACGAUCCCCUGACAUUUUCGAUGGAGUCUGUUUUGUUGCUUGGCGACUCCAUCACCCAGCAGGGGUACUGUUCCGGAUGGGUUUCCACCGUCAGCGAUGCGCUCGUCCGCCGUGCCCACGUCGUCAAUAGUGGGCUUAGUGGGUACAAUACACGGUGGCUGCUGGACGUACUGCGUGAUCCGAAGCUCUGUGAAAGUGUUAUUCCUGCUUGGGUCCGUGAGCCACUCUUUGUUACCGUGAUGUUAGGCUCCAACGACAGCGCGGAAGGAGGGCAGAACGUUCCCGUACCCGAAUUCUGCGAAAACCUCCGAGCUAUCGUUGAAUUUGUUCUCUCGAAAGUCAAUCCAAAAGGCGGCGUGUACGUGCUCACGUUACCUCCCGUCCACCAAGACCUCUGGAACGCGAGAAACCCAGAGAGGAGGAGACACUAUUCAGCUACACGUCUCUAUCGCCGCGCUACGCUGCAGGUUUUGCGCGAUCUCAGCACCCAAUAUCCACUGCGUGUGUUUGCGGUUGACACACAAGCAGCGUUCUUGAGCUACGGUGCAGCCGAGCCGUCGGAGUCGGAAAUGGAUGUGUAUGAUCCACAAGGUCCGUGGACAUCACUUCUUGUAGAUGAUGGUCUUCACAUCAACGCUGUGGGCGGUCAGCUUCUCAGUUCCACCUUGCUAAGCGCCGUGCGCAGGUCACCGGAAGGCUCUAGCCUGCUACGGAACGACGAAGAGGUGUGGGCAGUGCCUGACUGGCGCACGGUGAUGUUGCGGCACAAACCUUCGAAAAAGUGAGCCACCACGGGCAGACAUCCGGGCGUCUCACCAAUGCGUCGCAUAUGGCCUUUUCAUGACGCACGCCAAUUCCCUCUUGGACAUCACUACUCCGUGACGUGUGAGACGUGCCUUCCCAUCAGAGGCGACAGAGCGGAAACGCCUGCCGCUCCUCCGGCAGAUUGCAACGCAAUUGGGUUUCAUUGCCUGCUCGCUAACGCAUCCGACUAUGUUUUCUUUCACGAUUCCGCUACAGUAUCUGCCUCAGUAUCAGAGACCUGCGCGCAAAAAAAAACAGCGCCAUGCAGCCUUGUACCUUUCACACUUUCCCCCAACCUGCCGCAGAUGUGAGCAACCCCUGCGCGAGUCCAUGCCCUCAAAAAGAUGAUAGCGCCGCGCUUUUGCACCGUGUUACUGGCGCUCGCC
rnacentral:misc_RNA from 1 species